rnacentral:lncRNA from 1 species
UCCUCACCUCACAUGCAUCAAUGCUGCAUGACCUCCCCUCCAUGCAAAGGACCAAAACCCUAGAAGCAGCAGCUGGCACUAGUUUUGUUGCUCCAAUUAACUCUUGGACGGAGCUAGUUUAGCUGCUUAAUCCAUCAGCACUCCCCCUCUUAAUUCUCACCAUGCAAUAUGCGAAUGAAGUGCAUCCUCCAUGUGAGCAAGGGAAGGCUGGCUGGCUGGCUGCUACACAAGCUACACAUGGUAGGUCCUAAAUGAACCAGGCCAAGAACAAGAAAAGGGCUUCCAUUCCAGUACAACACACACCAGAGCCUGAUGUAAUCUACCUGUCUCAUACCUAUACGUACUCUCAUGCAUGCAUGCACGUUAAUUUUGUUCUGGUUGGACACGCACGUUAGUUAAUUAGUACGAUAGUAAGUUACCAAAAAAAAAACUUUCAGUAUUUGCAGUGUUUUUAUUGACGUGAAAAAGAUAUAUAAACAGGGUAAAAACAAAAAGAAUGCACGUUGCUGUCACGAGAAAAAAGUUAAUUAGGAAUGCAUGUGCGUCUGUGGGGUGACGUGGUGGUGAUCGCAUCCGUCCAUCAGCAGCACCAUCGAUCGGACGGACGUCAUCGGAACAGUGACUAGUAAGCACUUCGGAAGCAUGUUUCCUCAGUAGAAAUUAGUAUUAUUUUGGGAAUGGCACAAGAACGAAGCUGACGAGUAUUAAUUUAUGUUGCUACAAGUAUCACCGAAGAAAAUUAAAACCUUGUCGAUCUGAUUUAUUUGCAUGCAAUGCAAGGAGCCAUGAACAACAACUGAUGGGAAUCACAAGAGGCAGAUAGAUGUAUUUUUUAAUUUUUUAUUCAAGGAAAAGAGGCAUGAUAUGGAUAAGCAACAAGAUUUCCCAUUCUUGAGGCACUGGUGCUCUUCCUGGGGCCAGAUGCAGGCAGGUCUCUCCUAGGAGGCAGGGCAAAAGUAAAAAAUAGUAAAAAAAAGAAAAUGUGAAAUGGAGCUCCUUGCCAGGGCAUCCAAAGGCCCAGCCAGCCCAUCUUUCCUCUUUGCUGGGAACUGCUAUGGGUCCCCGCCUCAGGGUUCAGAAGAAUCAGCCUUGAUUCCACUUUGGGAAUAAAGUUUUUUUGGGGGGGGGG